AUGAUCUCUCUGCCAUGCAAGAACCUAAGGAGCCUUAAGCUGCACGGUCUUGAAGAAACAUUGCCAAAAUGGAGAGACAACCAGCUUCGCAAGCUGGAAAAGCUGGACUUACAGAUGGCCACUUUAGUGGAAACUGACAUGAAGUUCCUUGCUGGGCUACCAAAACUAUGUAUACUUCGUGUCAAGCAGCUCCAGGGUGGUGAGCUCUGUUUUCGUGUCCUUGUGGAUGGAGAAGAGGACGAGCCCUUUCAAAAGGUCAAGGUCCUCCAGAUUGCUUGUCGUGGCAGCUCCAACACCUUACAUGUGAGAUUUGGGGAGGAAACAAUGAGGAAACUUGAGCUACUCAAGGUUGACUGCUGCGGUGGGUCGCCAUCAUAUCAGUUCUCUGGCCUGCAGAAUCUAAGAGGACUCAAGCAAGUCUUGCUACUUAACAGUCACAACGCCGAAGCACUGAAGGGGCAACUUGAGAGCCAGCUUGCUCAGCAUCCAAACUCAGUGAAACUCGAGCAGGAGUAA
rnacentral:rRNA from 1 species